rnacentral:rRNA from 1 species
CACGCCAGUGGCAUUGCCGGGUAGCUAUGUUCGGAAAAGAUAACCGCUGAAAAGUGGCAUUGCCGGGUAGCUAUGUUCGGAAAAGAUAACCGCUGAAAGCAUCUAAGCGGGAAACUUGCCUCAAGAUGAGAUCUCACUGGGAACUUGAUUCCCCUGAAGGGCCGUCGAAGACUACGACGUUGAUAGGCUGGGUGUGUAAGCGUUGUGAGGCGUUGAGCUAACCAGUACUAAUUGCCCGUGAGGCUUGACCAUAUAACACCCAAACA